CGACAGCCUCAGAACGGACGUGACGCAACUGCUCCGUAAGGACUUUGCGGAAGCGGAUCUGUUGCCUCGAGAAAACGUGGCUGGUGUCGCUGAUUGUGUUACAGGUGGUGGAUAAGCAGCCAAGCGCGAUGUUUCUGCAGUUUUACUUGAACGAACAAGGGGAGCGAGUGUACACCAUGAAGGUGAGACCCGGGCUGCUCCCACAGAGCUUUAUUGUGGGGAAGGCAUGGGCAGGAGUCCUGUACUAAUCUGUAGGUCAGAAGGUGGAGGAGACAUUCAUAUUACAGUGUCUGUUCAUUAAACUAUGGGGUUAUGAACUACCUUGACCGCUAUAACUACUAUAAUAAAUGCUAUGUAUCUUAGCAAGGAGAGGGGAGAUCAGUGGGCUGAGUGGAUAAAAUAAAAAAAUAUCGAGAGACCUCUAGGAGUCCAAGGAAAAUAAGAAUAACUCUAGUUCUACGGAAUUUUCUCUGCUAAUAUAGGCAGAUAGGCUUCCUAGUCAAAACCGUAUUAUAUAUAUAUAUACCUGUGAUUGCUUACUAUGUAAGGUGUUUUCAAUCUUUGUCUCUCAAUGACUGAAUUAAAGGUUUUUUUGUUUGCAAUGUAAAUGCUGCUUUUUUUUUAGAGAUUGAAGUGAUUAGUAACACCUCAAUAGCCUCCCAUUGUUUUCCUAUGGUAAAGCAUUGGAUUGGCUGUGAUCAAAAUUGAUCACAGCAAUGGAGGCAGGGCAGGAGAAAAGGUGAGGUUAAAAAAUAAUAAAAAACUCUCUCUCUCUCUCUCUCUCUCUCUCUAUCUAUCUAUCUAUCUAUAUAUAUAUAUAUAUAUAUAUAUAUAUAUAUAUAUAUAUAUAUAUAAAAAAAUUUUAAACUUCUCAGCAAAGUGGGCCAUCACCUAUACAGCCACUUCAGAUCUAUUGUGUUAGAAUAAAUUUUAUUUAUAGAAUGUCUUACCAGGAAUUAUGCAUUGAGAUUUCUCUCGUUUUCAAGUAUGUCCUGAAUGCUGGGUAUGUCAUGUUUGACUGUCGUGUUCCAUAAGAAUUCUUCUUUUCCAUGUUUGUGUCAAGCAUUCUUCUGUAGAUUAUGUUUGUAAAAGUCAUGUAUUGUCAGUUAGUACAUGUUUUAACAUCGUUUUAUUUGUUUGUGGUAUUUAAAUAAAGUGACUUUUUUUUUUUUAUGUAACCUCUUUUCUGUUCAGCCACACUACCUUACUGUAAAUCUUGCUUAAAGGGAUAGGACAUAUAAUGGCCAUCAUACAUGUAACAUGUCAUUUCAAAGGACAUAUAAUUAAAUGUGUAUAGUGUUAGCAAAUGGAUAGAGUAAGACAGAGAAAAAGUGAAUUCUAAUUAGGUCUUUUGCCCACCUGUUAAUUAAUGUUAUCAGUUCUUUGGCACAGACUCCAUGCCCAAAAACUGUCUGACAGAGCACGACAAAACUCCCACAGGCAGUUCUUGUGCAUAUCAAGCACAUGCGAUGUGUGUUAUGGUAACUCCCUGGCCAACUCUGCUAAUGCUGCCAAUUAAGUUUUGAAACAGUGACUGUCACUCCACUCAGAUCCUGGAAAUGAACCCAGGAGGUUUGUGUUGCUUGGGGAAAGUAAUCAAAGAGUAAAGCAGGUGGAUGCCUGGUCGACCAGAGGUUGGUAUUACAGAAAAUUAACAUGAGGAAAUGGUGGUACUGGAUCCAGUCUCUGAUAUGUUCAAUGCAAACGGAGUGAAUUAACAUGAACCUGUCAUGGUGGGCUCCUUCUAAAUUCCUUUAGUCCUGUGCAGCUUUGGGGGGGAAAGCAAAAAACUCUGUCUAAUGUAUCUGUUACUUGGUCGGUUUUAUUAUAUUUGCCCAGCAGCUUGUCAGGUGGUGGCUGUAAAAACUAAACAUGAAUUUGUUGGUUAUCUGAAGAAUUUAGUUCAUAGUACUGACAUGGUUAUUUAUUUUCAGAAAGUGGCUCCAGAUGGUCAGCCAACUUCCUCUGCUCACCCUGCCCGCUUUUCUCCAGAUGACAAGUAUUCCAGACACCGUAUUGCAUUAAAGAAAAGAUUUGGCCUCUUGAUGACCCAGCAGCCCAGACCUAUUUUGUGAGCCAUCUAUGUAGACUUACCAGUGAAGUGGAUUCCCCUUACAGUUUCAUCAAUGUACAAGACAUGACAUUUUACAGCCGACAUAGCUGGGACAUUCUUUGAUUCGGAGAGAGCAAUUUUUAUGUUUGUUCCACCAUAAAGCCAUUUCAGUGACUGAAUCUACUAUUUUCAUCUAUUAAAUGACAACUUUUUUUUACUAUCCAGUGUUUGUUUUAUUUUUAUAGGUCU